ensembl:lncRNA
GUUUGUUCAAAUCCCUGAACAUAAAAUUACAUUUUGGCUCAUAGUGUCCCACACGGUUGUGUUUAUGACAUGAAUGAUACCUCAAAUCAUGUGGCUUGCUGAGAAGAGGUGUUCUAGCAUUUUUAUGAGUGGACUUAAAAUCUCCAUCUGGCAAAAAUAUGAGGAACGGGUGGAGAAAACUCACAUGGACUUUUACUGAAAAAGGCACUGAAAUCAAAUCUGGAGACCAGUAUAUCAUAAAGACAUAGGGUGUGAACCUUUUGACUUGGACAAGUAAGAAACCACCUAACUACUCAGAACACCCUAGUAACCACACAGCAAUGGCCUGGCAAUGUCCCACCACAGAGUUUUGCGGCAUCAAGCACAAUUCAGACGCACUUCAAAACAGAAGAAAUCUGGUUUCCUGCAUAGAUGAUGAUUCAUCCUGACCUCUUUUUCUGAUUUUGUAGCAAAAUAAAAAAUCGGCAGUAAAGUCCAGAUGAGAGUCCCAGUUAGCUUUGGUGUUUAAGGGCUGGGUGGAGUGGAUGGUUCUGGGUGGAAUAUGUGGGGUGGGAUGCGUUUUGGGUUCAUGUGGUGGAUGGAAUUGUGGGUUUUUCUGUGACCUCAUAGUCUCUGAGCAUUAGUGAUGCCUACACCUGUUUCUGUUCUGUAUGUUUACACUGGAAAUGUCUCAUUUUAUACAUCAUUCACAGAGAACCAACAAAACAUUACCACAAAGAUUUUCAGCUAUAAGGCCAAUAAAAUGGUUCUGGGUGGCCAAGGAUUCAAGAAUCGUCUGAUCUGAGUCUCUCAGCACAGGUAAGGUUACGGCCUAGACAGGAGAGCACAGAGGAAUGCUGGUGGCUUGAAAUGUUUCCCUCUUGGCUGACUAAUUUGCGGGUCUAGUGGCAGUCUGAUGCUAUAGGUACUGGGCCAUUUACACAAAGGUUGCCUGUUCUGUCGUAAGUGAUCCAUGAACUGGAGAGUUACUGAGAUUACAGUCCUGUUCUAUCAGCAUCGUGCCCUUGAGCAAGACAGAGAACUCCUGCGAUCUGACUGCCCUGAUCGAAACAUGUUCUAGAUCUUUCUGGAUAAAAAUCAUAUGCAAAAAUGCUAACAUUGUUUACUGUUUGAGUGUUUUAAUUUUAACAUAUUGUUUUUG